AGGCGACGUCCGCUCGCUCUCGGGCGGCUCAACUCCGGCGAGACGGCGAGGAGACGAAGCGGAGCAGGUGCAGGGAGGGGGCGUCUUCCUCAGAGCUGCAUGAGAGGGAGAGAGCCGGAGGGGUGUGCGCGUCUCUCUUUGAUGCAGAUGGCGGAGCCCUUGUGGAACUUUGAAUAGGAGAGCGAGAUGGUACGUACAUAUAUAUAUGUACUGAAUAUAGGGAAUAUAGGGACACCAGGAGAACACUACCCCUCAGACAUUCCCACAGUCCCCAUCACAGCAGGAAGAAUGUUUCAACUGGAAACAAUACAUCCUAUGACAAUAUCCAGCCGAGACAAAGAGGCAGUCCAAAUACGGGCUGCUCCACAAAAGCUAGCCCAGAUUUCAACGAGGGGCCAACGUACCUCAUAGGCAGGUCCUCAUUCCUGACAGAGAUCCCAGCCGCAGAGGGGGGACAGCGCAUGCUGUUGGCAUACAAACUCUGCACCAGAGCCAGCUCAGAAGAGUG